AGAGUUUGAUCAUGGCUCAGGGUGAACGCUGGCGGUAUGGAUAAGGCAUGCAAGUCACGGGGGCCGCAAGGCAACCGGCAGACGAGGUAGUAACACGUAGGAACGUCCCCCAAAGUCUGGUAUAGCUCGCCGAAAGGUGAGGUAAUCCCGGAUGGUCUCGUAAGAGUAAAGGAGCAAUUCGCUUUGGGAGCGGCCUGCGUAAUAUCAGCUAGUUGGUGAGGUAAUGGCUCACCAAGGCUAUGACGUUUAGGGGAGCUGAGAGGCUGACCCCCACCGAUGAGACUGAGACACGGCUCAUACCCCUACGGGGGGCCGCAGCCGAGAAUAUUCGACAAUGGGCGAAAGCCUGAUCGAGCGAUACCGCGUGGUGGAUGAAGCGCUUCGGCGCGUAAACAUCUUUUAUGAGGGAAGAAGUUAUUGACAUUACCUCAUGAAUAAGGGGCUCCUAACUCUGUGCCAGCAGGAGCGGUAAUACAGAGGCCCCGAGCGUUACCCGGAAUUACUGGGCGUAAAGAGUGCGUAGGUGGUCGUGUUAGUCGUCUGUCAAAGCCCCCGGCUCAACCGGGGACACGCGGGCGAAACGGCACGACUUGAGGGCGUGAGAGGUGCAUAGAACUCAUGGUGUAGGGGUGAAAUCCGUUGAUAUCAUGGGGAAUACCGAAAGCGAAGGCAGUGCACUGGCGCGUUCCUGACACUCAAGCACGAAAGCGUGGGUAGCGAACGGGAUUAGAUACCCUAGUAGUCC
rnacentral:rRNA from 1 species